AAUUUUUUUUCUUUUUUUUUUUUAUAAAAUCAUAUUAUAUAUAGAUCUACUUUUUUAGCAAAUUAUUGGAAAUUAAUAAAUGUCAUGCGUCCAAUCCAUGGAGGAACUAGACGAUUUCAUUUUUUUUUUUUUUGCUUUUUUAUUAAAUAAGUAACAUUAUUUAAAUAUUUUCAUAUAAUUUAAAUAAAAUUUAAUUAAAUUAUAAAUUUAACAGUGAAGGUGCUAUUUUACCUUUUGGUAUUUUUAUCUUGCUUUCUCU
rnacentral:misc_RNA from 1 species